UAACAACAAAAUCCUAACUAUUAUAGAAUAUUAACUAAACUCUAAUUAGACCAUAAUAUUAUUAAGUAAGCUUUAAUCAAAUUCAAAAAAACCUCAAAGAAAUUUCAAACAAAUAACAAAAAUUCUUAAAGAAAUAUUAGAAUGAUCACAAAUAUCACUCAAAUACAUCUCAAUUCAAUCUUAAUUCCAUUCUAGUUAAAAUCCUAUUGAAUUUCAUUCAAAUUUUAGGCCAAAACUAAUUAAAUCUUAAAUCCUAAUAAAAUCCUAAAUCCUAAAUCAAACCCUAAAUCCUAAACCAAACCCUAAACAAAUCUUAAACCAAAUUCCAAUCAAAUCCUAAAUCAAACCCUAAAUCCUAAAUCAAAUCCUAAUCAAAUCCUAAACUGUAAACUAAGCCCUAAUCAAAUCCUAAAUAAAAUCCUAACUAAAUCCUAACCAAAAAAUAAUUCAAACCUUAAAUCCUAACUAAAUCCUAAUCUAAAUCCUAAACCCUAAAUCAAACCCUAAUCCUAAA
rnacentral:lncRNA from 1 species